rnacentral:rRNA from 1 species
UACGGAGGGGGCUAGCGUUGUUCGGAAAUACUGGGCGUAAAGCGAACGUAGGCGGCUUGGCAAGUCAGGGGUGAAAUCCCAGUGCUCAACACUGGAACUGCCUUUGAAACUGCUAGGCUUGAAUCCUGGAGAGGCGAGUGGAAUUCCGAGUGUAGAGGUGAAAUUCGUAGAUAUUCGGAAGAACACCAGUGGCGAAGGCGACUCGCUGGACAGGUAUUGACGCUGAGGUUCGAAAGCGUGGGGAGCAAACAGG